AUUGAACGCUGGCGGCAUGCCUUACACAUGCAAGUCGAACGGUAACGGGCCUUCGGGUGCCGACGAGUGGCGAACGGGUGAGUAAUGUAUCGGAACGUACCUUUCAGUGGGGGAUAACGUAGCGAAAGUUACGCUAAUACCGCAUAUUCUGUGAGCAGGAAAGCAGGGGAUCGCAAGACCUUGCGCUGAUUGAGCGGCCGAUAUCAGAUUAGCUAGUUGGUGAGGUAAAGGCUCACCAAGGCGACGAUCUGUAGCGGGUCUGAGAGGAUGAUCCGCCACACUGGGACUGAGACACGGCCCAGACUCCUACGGGAGGCAGCAGUGGGGAAUUUUGGACAAUGGGGGGCAACCCUGAUCCAGCCAUGCCGCGUGAGUGAAGAAGGCC
rnacentral:rRNA from 1 species